AGUGAACGCUGGCGGUAGGCCUAACACAUGCAAGUCGAACGGCAGCACAGUAAGAGCUUGCUCUUACGGGUGGCGAGUGGCGGACGGGUGAGGAAUACAUCGGAAUCUACUUUUUCGUGGGGGUUAACGUAGGGAAACUUACGCUCAUACCGCAUACGACCUACGGGUGAAAGCAGGGGAUCUUCGGACCUUGCGCGAUUGAAUGAGCCGAUGUCGGAUUAGCUAGUUGGCGGGGUAAAGGCCCACCAAGGCGACGAUCCGUAGCUGGUCUGAGAGGAUGAUCAGCCACACUGGAACUGAGACACGGUCCAGACUCCUACGGGAGGCAGCAGUGGGGAAUAUUGGACAGUGGGCGCAAGCCUGAUCCAGCCAUACCGCGUGGGUGAAGAAGGCCUUCGGGUUGUAAAGCCCUUUUGUUGGGAAAGAAAAGCAGCAGGUUAAUACCCCGCUGUUCUGACGGUACCCAAAGAAUAAGCACCGGCUAACUUCGUG
rnacentral:rRNA from 1 species